rnacentral:rRNA from 1 species
AGCGGAGGGAUCAUUACAGAGUUAUCCAACUCCCAAACCCAUGUGAACUUAUCUCUUUGUUGCCUCGGCGCAAGCUACCCGGGACCUCGCGCCCCGGGCGGCCCGCCGGCGGACAAACCAAACUCUGUUAUCUUAGUUGAUUAUCUGAGCGUCUUAUUUAAUAAGUCAAAACUUUCAACAACGGAUCUCUUGGUUCUGGCAUCGAUGAAGAACGCAGCGAAAUGCGAUAAGUAAUGUGAAUUGCAGAAUUCAGUGAAUCAUCGAAUCUUUGAACGCACAUUGCGCCCAUUAGUAUUCUAGUGGGCAUGCCUGUUCGAGCGUCAUUUCAACCCCUAAGCACAGCUUACUGUUGGGAACCUACGGCUUCCGUAGCUCCUUAAAGACAUUGGCGGAGUGGCAGUAGUCCUCUGAGCGUAGUAAUUCUUUAUCUCGCUUUUGUUAGGUGCUGCCCCCCCGGCCGUAAAACCCCCAAUUUUUUCUGGUUGACCUCGGAUCAGGUAGGAAUACCCGCUGAACUUAAGCAUAUCAAUAAGCGGAGGAAAAGAAACCAACAGGGAUUCCCCUAGUAACGGCGAGUGAAGCGGGAACAGCUCAAAUUUGAAAUCUGGCCCUCGGGUCCGAGUUGUAAUUUGUAGAGGAUGCUUUUGGUGCGGUGCCUUCCGAGUUCCCUGGAACGGGACGCCUUAGAGGGUGAGAGCCCCGUACGGUUGGACGCCUAGCCUCUGUAAAGCUCCUUCGACGAGUCGAGUAGUUUGGGAAUGCUGCUCUAAAUGGGA